rnacentral:rRNA from 1 species
GGCGGAGGAUGCAAGCGUUAUCCGGAAUGAUUGGGCGUAAAGCGUUCGCAGGUGGCUGUUCAAGUCUGCUGUCAAAGACCGGGGCUUAACCCUAGAAAGGCAGUGGAAACUGAACGGCUGGAGUGCAGUAGGGGUAGAGGGAAUUCCCAGUGUAGCGGUGAAAUGCGUGGAGAUUGGGAAGAACACCGGUGGCGAAAGCGCUCUGCUGGACUGCAACUGACACUGAGGGACGAAAGCUAGGGGAGCGAAAGCG